rnacentral:rRNA from 1 species
UACCAGCACCCCGAGUGGUCGGGACGUUUUAUUGGGCCUAAAGCAUCCGUAGCCGGUUCUACAAGUCUUCCGUUAAAUCCAGCUGCUUAACAGAUGGGCUGCGGAAGAUACUAUGGAGCUAGGAGGCGGGAGAGGCAAGCGGUACUCGAUGGGUAGGGGUAAAAUCCGUUGAUCCAUUGAAGACCACCAGUGGCGAAGGCGGCUUGCCAGAACGCGCUCGACGGUGAGGGAUGAAAGCUGGGGGGAGCAAACCGA